rnacentral:rRNA from 1 species
UACGUAGGAGACGAGCGUUGUCCGGAGUUACUGGGCGUAAAGGGUGCGUAGGUGGGCAGGUAAGUCAGUGGUGAAAUCUCCGGGCUUAACCCGGAAACUGCCAUUGAUACUAUUUGUCUUGAAUACUGUGGAGGUCAGCGGAAUAUGUCAUGUAGCGGUGAAAUGCUUAGAUAUGACAUAGAACACCAAUUGCGAAGGCAGCUGGCUACACAAAUAUUGACACUGAGGCACGAAAGCGUGGGGAUCAAACAGG